UGCUCUUCCAGAAGCAAAACAAUUAUCCAUUUUCUUUCCCAGUUACUUAACCUAAAUACACGUUGCCAGGAUGACAUAAUGCUCGAAAGACGAAACUCUUAUACAAGAAAUACAUAUCAGAAUCGUUGAGAAACAAGGGCAUGAAGAAAGCUCUUGGGACGGCAACCUAUCAGUGUAUUCUCAGUUAAAGAGAAUUUUUGAAGUAUGGAAUGAUGACGUACAUGAAGACGAAGAUGUCGACUCGUACAGGUUUAUGGUGUAUCUGGAAGGAUCAGGAAAGCCUGGAAUCGUGGUGAGUGGCGACGAAGUGAGUCGUAUCUGUCUUGAUAAUAAGUCCACUUAUCCACGAUACCGGCGGUCAUGACGAGGGAGUCAUCAGCUGAAACUAGCUUCCGUUUCCGUCUAUCAGAACUGCAUGUCGUUGGGAACUCAUGACCAGGGUGUUGUUUUUGCUUCACGGAUUGAAGUUCCAGAACAUAGGUCCCAACAGAUGGCAGCGACUACGCGCGUUACCAUGCGCAUAUAACCUAAGCCUAGUACAACAGUGAGAGAUGACGAUAGGGGGAACCAAUGAACUUCUUUCUUUUUUUUCUUUUUUACUCUGCACCAGUGAGACCCGACCAGGGGUUUUCAUGAAUGGACCAUUCUCUAGUAACAUAGUAUACGCGGUAACACCAUACACACUGCACGCGAU